CCUGUUCAGAACCCGCUGCGCAGCUGCUGCGGUGAGGAAAUGCGGCGAGGCUUCCGUUGCCAUAUGGCAGCCACGUGCUCUGUACAGAUCAGAGACAUUUGGAUUUUCGCUUUGUAUUCAACGUAGUAAAGUUAGAAUUUUCUUCUUGUGAUGCUAAGAUCUACUCUCUUGGCAACUUUCAAAUACACGCCGCUGUACUGUUCACUUCAGGUACCGUGCCUCUACAUCACAUCCCCAGAACUACUGGUGGCCGCUGGCCCAGAGGCCAUCGUCUGCAGGAUAUGGAUCUGGAUUAUCAUAAACUACGG